rnacentral:rRNA from 1 species
AUUGAACGCUGGCGGCAUGCCUUACACAUGCAAGUCGAACGGUAACAGGUCUUCGGAUGCUGACGAGUGGCGAACGGGUGAGUAAUACAUCGGAACGUGCCCGAGAGUGGGGGAUAACGAGGCGAAAGCUUUGCUAAUACCGCAUACGAUCUCAGGAUGAAAGCAGGGGACCGCAAGGCCUUGCGCUCACGGAGCGGCCGAUGGCAGUUUAGGUAGUUGGUGGGAUAAAAGCUUACCAAGCCGACGAUCUGUAGCUGGUCUGAGAGGACGACCAGCCAAACUGGGACUGAGACACGGCCCAGACUCCUAGGGGAGGAAGAAGUGGGGAAUUUUGGACAAGGGGCGCAAGCCUGAUCCAGCCAUGCCGCGUGAAGGAUGAAGGCCUUCGGGUUGUAAACUGCUUUUGUACGGAACGAAAAGACUCCUUCUAAUAAAGGGGGUCCAUGACGGUACCGUAAGAAUAAGCACCGGCUAACUACGUGCCAGCAGCCGCCGUAACAC